GAUGAACGCUGGCGGCGUGCCUAAUACAUGCAAGUCGAGCGAACGGACGAGAAGCUUGCUUUUCUGAUGUUAGCGGCGGACGGGUGAGUAACACGUGGAUAACCUACCUAUAAGACUGGGAUAACUUCGGGAAACCGGAGCUAAUACCGGAUAAUAUUUUGAACCGCAUGGUUCAAAAGUGAAAGACGGUCUUGCUGUCACUUAUAGAUGGAUCCGCGCUGCAUUAGCUAAUUGGUAAGGUAACGGCUUACCAAGCCAACGACGCAUAGCCGACCUGAGAGGGUGAUCGGCCACACUGGAACUGAGACACGGUCCAGACUCCUACGGGAGGCAGCAGUAGGGAAUCUUCCGCAAUGGGCGAAAGCCUGACGGAGCAACGCCGCGUGAGUGAUGAAGGUCUUCGGAUCGUAAAACUCUGUUAUUAGGGAAGAACAUAUGUGUAAGUAACUGUGCACAUCUUGACGGUACCUAAUCAGAAAGCCACGGCUAACUACGUG
rnacentral:rRNA from 1 species